CGGAUAGCAGGCUACUGAGAGAUGAAGAUUAUAAUACUCAUUUUGAUCAUGAUGCUUAUGUUAAAACAUAUUAUACCGUUUUAGACGAUACAAUCGAGGGUGGAGUAAUUCCCUUUGUAUUAAAAUGUCUACAUGAUGUCUUUAAAACAGGUACCGUGAAGGGUUCACGAUUACUGGACAUUGGAACUGGUCCUGUUCCACAUUCUGUAAUUCCUGCAGUUCCGUUUGUUCAAGAUAUAUACCUAACAGAUUUCUCAACGGUUAAUAGAAAAUAUCUGUAUGAUGCUUUGUUUGGAUCUGGUAAACAAGAAUAUUCCAGUAUUUUUGAAUUUUUGACAAAUUUAAGCGAAAAAAGUCAACCCUGGACAAAACUUUCUGAUGAUUUGAAAGACAAAAUCUGUGGAAUAUUUCCUUGUGACCUGCUACAAGAUGAUAUAUUUAAAGGAAGUUACUUCCCCUUAUUUGACGUCAUCACAACCAGUCUUUGUAUGGACGUUGCACCUCCAGAUGUAGACACAUACGGAAAAAUCGCCAAGAAAAUAUCAAAAUAUCUUAAAAUUGGUGGGCAUUUGGUUAUCGUUGGUGUAUUGGACGCGACUUAUUAUUUUGUCGGGGAUCAGAAAUUCUUUUCCUUGGAUAUAAGCGCAGAUGAAGUGAAAUCAUGCUGGAAAGGUGCUGGGUUUUCAAUACAGAGUUGGAACCACAUGAAAAGGCCAGAAGAAAGCGAGAAGUCUGAUUUUGGUGGCGCUUUUGUUAUGCAUUGUAUUAAGGAAUCUUAAUCGGUUACCCGUGACCCAAAACCCAUCCCAAACUUAGGCUGCCUAUCUACAGCUAGCUCCGGCUGAGAAUAGGCCCUAAGCUAAUUAACCGACAUUUUAAUUCCUACAUCGACGAUUUUAGUCGAAAACACUGAGUAUGCUUUUAGAAAUUUUUAAAAGUAUUUAUUUCUUUUCUUUGGUCAUAAUGAAUGUAAUUAAAUAUGUUUAUUUAGCCACUGUGUGUAUGACAGAUGUCAAACUAAUCAAAGCCUAAUCACAAAAUAGUCCUCUAAUUAUUCAAUAUGGCGGCGCCCAUGAAACAUAAUUUCACAGAGUCGAAAACAAAUUUAGGAGUAUCUAACCUUGUUUUGAAAGAUAAACAGAUUGAAACUCUAAGGACAGUUUACAAUGGUAAAGAAUUUAUUGCAAUAUUACCUAUAGCACAUAUUAUAUAUAGCUUUUACGCGAGUGUCAGCGACAUGGCGUGUUUACAUAAAACCCCCGUGCUUGGGUUAUUUUUACUCUGUUGUCUACUCUGUUGUCUAGUCGAUAAGUCCCGCCCCAAAAUGAUCACGUGAGCGUUUUAAAUGGAGGCUAAUCAGGGCAGUGUCACAUUCUGGGAAGUAUGACGUAGAUGGGUCGCUGCGUGCAGUAUGCCAAAACUCUUCAUGGUUCUAUUUCCUCAUCUAAUUAAAGCUAACCCCAUUUCAGUAUUUUUAUUUUAAUACAUUUUUAUUCUUCAUGAUGGCUAACACAAUUCCAAAAUUUAUUUCAAUAUAUUCUUGAUCUUCGAUUUAUUUGUUUAUGGCCAUUUGAUCUUAAAGGAGCUAAAUCGCUAACAUUUGGGACCUAGAAAUUCACAAAAGUGGGUCGCAACGCAUAUAAUACUGUAAUAUGAAUGUAUAUAAACUGAUUUACAUUUAAUGGUUUCCGUUUUUACUCCAAUUUCAAAUCAGUUAUGUUCGGCGAAAUAAGUCAGCAAUCUCAAUCGAGUGCAAAUUUCUAGCGUCUAGUUUUUCUAGUCUACAUAACUCCAUUUGAUUUGGUGCAAUGUG